rnacentral:tRNA from 2 species
GGGGUUGUAACUCAGCUCGGAAGAGUGGCCGACUCCAGAUCGGAAGGUCGGAGGUUCAAAUCCUCCCAACCCCACCA